rnacentral:rRNA from 1 species
UACGAAGGGGGCUAGCGUUGUUCGGAAUUACUGGGCGUAAAGCGCACGCAGGCGGAUUGAUAAGUCAGGGGUGAAAUCCCGGGGCUCAACCUCGGAAUUGCCUUUGAUACUGUCUGUCUUCGAGUUCGGGAGAGGUUGGCGGAAUUCCUAGUGUAGAGGUGAAAUUCGUAGAUAUUAGGAAGAACACCAGUGGCGAAGGCGGCCAACUGGCCCGAUACUGACGCUGAGGUGCGAAAGCGUGGGGAGCAAACAGG